GACGAACGCUGGCGGCGUGCUUAACACAUGCAAGUCGAACGGAGUGGCGAAAGGGUGAGUAACACGUGGGUGACCUGCCCGGUACUUUGGGAUAAGCCUGGGGAACUGGGUCUAAUACCGGUUAGUGUGGGAUGGGCCCGCGGCCAAUCAGCUUGUUGGCGGGGUAUUGGUCGACCAAGGCGGCGACGGGUAGCCGGCCUGGGAGGGUGGACGGCCACAAGGGGCCUGCGAGAGGGCGCAGAAGCCUACGGGAGGCAGCGGUGGGGAAUAUUGCACAAUGGGCGGGAGCGUGAUGCAGCGACGCCGGGUGGGGGAUGACGGCCUUCGGGUUGUAAACUCCUUUCACCGUCGACGCGGUAGAUGGAGAGGAAGCAACGGCUAACUACGUGCCAGCCGCCGCGGUAAUUC
rnacentral:rRNA from 1 species